rnacentral:tRNA from 1 species
GGGCCCGUGGUCUAGUGGUCAUGACGCAUCCUUGACGUGGAUGAGGUCGCCAGUUCGAACCUGGCCGGGCCCA